rnacentral:rRNA from 1 species
GAUGGCGGCCAUAGAAGCCGGGGAUAUUCCUGAUCUCGGCCGAACUCAGUAGACAAGCCCGGUUUCGUUUACGUAGAUGUGCGGUGCGCGAGCCCGUGACAGGACGUAAAGCUGCCACAU